CCUACGGGAGGCAGCAGUCGAGAAUCAUUCACAUUGGGGGAAACCCUGAUGGUGCGACGCCGCGUGGGGGCAUGAAGGUCUUCGGAUUGUAAACCCCUGUCAUGUGGGAGCAAAUUAAAAAGAUAGUACCACAAGAGGAAGAGACGGUUAACUCUGUACCAGCAGCCGCGGUACUACAGAGGUCUCAAGCGUUGUUCGGAAUCAAUGGGCGUAAAGCGUGCGUAGGCUGCUUCGUAAGUCGUGUGUGAAAGGCGCGGGCUCAACCCGCGGACGGAACAUGAUACUGCGAGACUAGAGUAAUGGAGGGGGAACCGGAAUUCUCGGUGUAGCAGUGAAAUGCGUAGAUAUCGAGAGGAACACUCGUGGCGAAGGCGGGUUCCUGGACAUUAACUGACGCUGAGGCACGAAGGCCAGGGGAGCGAAAGGGAUUAGAUACCCGUGUAGUC
rnacentral:rRNA from 1 species